UGUGCUGUUUAUGCUGGAUAUUAUGUUCUGUGCCUUCAAGACUGGCUCUGAAGAGUGAAUGUUUUGUUUUGGUUCUUUAUCAGUCCCCAUUGCAGACGGGGCAGUACAUAGUGCUGCUUUUGCUUUUUGUUUUGCUUUUGCUUUGCUCUUACUUCUGCUUUGCUCUUGCUUUUUGCCUCUGCUCAUUAGUCAGUUUAGCUAAGCAGUCCAAAUUUUUCAUGGACUGCUUUUCCUUUCCCUUUUUUAGACCUACCCAAACCUGCUGCGGACUGGGACCUGGGAAACACCGAGAGUUUGCACCUUGAGGCUGCAGCAGCUGCCCCAGUGCUGGAGGGACCGAUAACAGAGCAACCACCCCAGGAGAGACUUUCUGAAUUUGUCAUCUUUUUCAGAGCAGUGAAAGAGUGGUGUCAUCCGAAAGGCAACAGUGCCAAUCACUGCAUUCUUACUGGAAAGUCAGAACUAUGCACAGACCUGCUGCUACACAGAAACAAGACUGAUGAGCACCAUCUCAUGGGCAUUUCAGGUUUUUACUUUUUGCCAUGUACGCUAUCUCAUUAAUUGGAAAACAAGCAACUAAAUGGCAACCUACACAUAGCAAGUACCCCUAAGAGGAUGUUUCAUGACUUUAGCUAACAGCAGUGAAAUCUUGCAGUAUAUCCUGAUAUGUAUUGACAGAUAAUCGUACAAUCACAGAAUCACCCCACCUGUUUAAACAUGGGGAGAUUAGAAAAGGAGAGAAAAUCAGCCCUUCAUAAGAUGAACAGCUUGUUACACCUUCAGAAUGAAAACCCAGCUUCAGCCUUCCAGCUACCUUACAACAGAAUUUGCAGAUGAAACAGAACCAAUUAUGCGUCCACAAAGUACAAGAACAACGGGUGCUGCUGAAACUGCAAUAUUUCAUUCCAGUCUGUAAAGUUUGUGUGGCUAUUUAUAGGAAAAGUCAUAUUCUGAGUUACAACAAACAGAACAAAUGUUUUCCUUUCUGCCUUGUAAAUGGAAAAGGAAUUCACACUUCACAUAAAAACACAAUGCAACAAGCAUAACAAGGCAGCUCUAGAGCCACGUACUUAGACUCAAUACUCCUUGAUUAUCAAGGAGGAAGAAUAGCUGGUCCAAGCAGUAGGAAGCCCAACACAACCAUUCUCCUUUUCUAGCUUCCAACCCAAAUUCCUUGAUAAGCCUGACUGCAUCCAGCAGAAAACACACAUUUGCUGCUGCUUUGAAAGCACAGAAACACAGAACGGUUUGAGCUGGGAGGGGCCAUAAACAGGAGCUAGCUCCAAACUCCCCACUGUGCACAGGGAUGCCACCCACUAGAUCAAGUUGCUCAGGGCCCCAUCCAACCUGGCCUUGAACACUCCCAAUAGUAGGGCACCCACAACCUCUCUGGGCAGCCUGUGCCAGUGCCUCACCACCCACUGAGUAAAGACAUUCUUCUUGACAUCUAAUCUAAACCUGCCUGCUUUCAGUACUGUCUGCGCAGCGAGAGUGUGUGUUAGAAGAUCUGUUGUUAUGUGACCAAAAGCUGAACCCACGUGUCUCUGGAGUACCGUAUCACAUAGUGUCUGCAAAAAAAUGGUAGAACUUCAGAGAAAAUCCUUGAAGAUUGCUUAAAGCAGAAGACACUGUGCAAUCUUAAGGCAUGAACCACUGACUCUUCAGAGCAACGUCUCAAUUAUCUCAACAUCUUUUCCAGUACACAUCUGACUGUAUAAAUACCUUACAGAGUCACAGCACCAGAACAUGGAAAUGCCUUACCAAGAUCACAACUACGUCACACAUAAUAUUUCAUAAUUAUAGUUGCCAUCCAUACAUUUGAUUAUUCUGUUUUCUUUGACACCAUGGUUAAUUUAACCAGAGAGAAUUAGCUUGCAGGCUCAUAAUGGGCAAUAACUCCUCUUGGCCAAAUUAUUAACCUUCCUAAACAAAGGCAUCUUUGCCUUCAAAAGUCUGAACAUUAAGACUGAGGUUCAGGCACCUUUUAAUACAGAAAUCUGCACAUUCAAUUACUGCAAUUGAGAAAUCCUUUACUCUGCAUUGAUCCCAUUGUUAUAAUGAUCAAUACCUGUUUUAAGAAUCCAUAUGUGCAUUCCAGUAUUCUUUCCAAUUUGCAUGGUAAGGUCACAGGCAAACAAACCCAUUUAGAAACAUCCUUGGUGAACAAAUCUCCUUAAGAGGUGAGAAACAGAAUUCUAACUACAACUCUAGCCUCAUAUAUGUGAGCAAUAGAGCUAUAGGAAAUAUUAAAGCUGAUUCUUAGAAGCUGAGAAGUUGAACACCCCGCUGGAAAAUUACUAUAAAUGAGCAUUUAAAGCUGUUCACCUCCUUCCCCAUAUACCUACUUUAACUGGAAAUUGAAGCAUCAAGAUCACUCAGUGCUACAUAACUCAAAUGCACUGCCAACCCACAGAAGACACACUGUAUUUCAAAGCUAAAGAGCUAUUUUGCACAGUAGGUAUCAUGCAUGGUUCAAAACGGUAACCAAGCCUGUGUCUGACCAGUCCUAUUUUAAGUAAUAUGCAGCAUCACUACACUGAAACACACAGAAAUAUCCUGUUCAGAAUGAUACUGGAAUUCAGCUACAAGUGCAGGAAUGAGGCAUGAAACAUUCAUUAAACCCCACAUGUCAGCAACAGCUACAGGAUAGUGUCACACUACAGAGCAAAUGAAAACACAGACACUAAACAAUACGUGACAGAGAUGGCACAAGACAAAAGCCACUGAAAAACCUCUCCCUUCUAUGCCACCACGUGUAAAUUAAGCUUAAAUUUCUGGCACUCUUGCGUACUUGAAAGUGGGUUUUCCCACAGAGAUGAACAAAGAAUCACAAAAAUCAUCAAAUGGUUUGGGUGGGAAAGGACCUUAGAGAUUUCAUUCCAUCCCCUCUGCCAUGGGCAGGGACACCUUCCACUAGACCAGGCUGUUCAAAGUCCCAUCCAACCUGACUUUGAAUACUUCCAGGGGUAGGGUAUCCACAACUUCUCUGGACAAUUUGUUAUCCUGUGAGUGGCCCAUCCAUCAAAUUCAUGCCUCUCCAGUUUAUAGACGAGGAUGUUGUGCCAAAUGCUUUGCUCAAGUCCAGACAGAUGACAUCAGUUGUUCGUCCCUCAUCAACCAGUGCUGCAACCCCAUCAGUGAAGGCAACCAAAUUUGUCAGGCCCUUUGGUUUGCCCUUACUGACACCUUGUUAGGUCUCACCAAUCACCUUCUUAUUUUCUACAUGCCUUAGCACAAUUUCCAGGAGCACCUGUUCCAUGAUCCUGUAAAGCACAGAGGUGAAACUGAACAGCCUGGAAUCUCCUGGGCUCUUCCUUUUUUCCCCUCUUUUAACACUGUGAGUUUUGUUUUCCGUUUUCCAGUAAUUGGUAACUUCACCAGUCUGCCACAACUUUCCUAAUAGGACAGAUGGUGACA